rnacentral:rRNA from 1 species
GGUGAACGCUGGCGGUGGGCCUAACACAUGCAAGUCGAACGACAACACAGUAAGCGCUUGCUCUUAAGGGUGGCGAGUGGCGGACGGGUGAGGCGUGCAUCGGCAUCUACUUUUUCGGGGAGGAUAACGUAGGACAACUUACGCUAAUACCGAAUACGACCUACGGCAUAAUGCAGGGGAGCUUGAGGCCUUGACCGUUUGAUUUAGACGACGUCGGAUUAGCUAGUUGGCUGGGUAAAGGCCUACCAAGGCGACGAUCCGUAGCUGGUCUGAGAGGAUGAUCAGCCACACUGGAACUGAGACACGGUCCAGACUCCUACGGGAGGCAGCAGUGGGGAAUAUUGGACAAUGGGCGCAAGCCUGACCCAGCCAUACCGCGUGGGUGAAGAAGGCCUUCGGGUUGUAAAGCCCUUUUGUUGGGAAAGAAAAGCAGCAGGUUAAUACCCCGCUGUUCUGACGGUACCCAAAGAAUAAGCACCGGCUAACUUCGUG